rnacentral:rRNA from 1 species
UACGAAGGGGGCUAGCGUUGUUCGAAAUUACUGGGCGUAAAGCGCGCGCAGGCGGUCUUCCAAGUCAGUGGUGAAAGCCUGGAGCUCAACUCCAGAACUGCCUUUGAUACUGAAAGUCUUGAGUAUGGGAGAGGUGAGUGGAACUGCGAGUGUAGAGGUGAAAUUCGUAGAUAUUCGCAAGAACACCAGUGGCGAAGGCGGCUCACUGGCCCAUUACUGACGCUGAGGCACGAAAGCGUGGGGAGCAAACAGG